UACGGGGGGGGCAAGCGUUGUUCGGAAUUACUGGGCGUAAAGGGCUCGUAGGUGGCCAACUAAGUCAGACGUGAAAUCCCUCAGCUUAACUGGGGAACUGCGUCUGAUACUGGAUGGCUUGAGUUUGGGAGAGGGAUGCGGAAUUCCAGGUGUAGCGGUGAAAUGCGUAGAGAUCGUAAGGAAGACCAGUGGCGAAGGCGGGUCUCUGGACAGUUCCUGACACUGAGGCACGAAGGCCAGGGGAGCAAACGGG
rnacentral:rRNA from 1 species